GACCCACCCACCCCACAUAUCCUGUCAGUCCCUUUGAACGCCCCCCAAGGUGUAGGUGCACGGCCAUACAAUGGUUUGCUUAAUACCUAUCUUGCUCCAACAGAGCUGGGACCCGUCUGUCUUCGUCCUCAGCUGUAUCUGCUGUGCCCAGCCCAGUCCUGGCACACAGUAGAUGCUGGAUGAAGAUGUGCUGAGGGCCGAGUGAGGUGGCUCACGCCUGUAAUCCUAGCACUUUGGGAGGCUGAGUGGGCCAAUUGCUUGAGCUCAGGGGUUCGAGACCAGCCUGGGCAACAUGGUGAAACCCCCAUCUCUGCUAAAAUACAAAAACAUUAGCCAGGCAUGGUGGUAACACACCUGUAAUCUCAGCUACUCAGGAGGCUGAGGCGGGAAAAUUGCUUGAACCCGGGAGGUAGAGGUUGCAGUGAGCUGAGAUCACGCCACUGCACUUCAGCCUGGGUGACAGAGUGACUCUUUCUCAAAAAAAAAAAAAAAAAAAAAAGUUCUGAGACUCUGAGAGAUGCAUGAGGCUGUGACUGGCAGGCAGAAGGGAGCCCAGAGGAGCCUUGAGGGACAUAAGACCCAAUACGGUCUUUGUAGGAGGCCUAGGGAGGGGCAGGGCCUUGCUCAAGGUCACACCACUUAGUGGAGCCUCAGGAUUGGAACUCACAUCCCCUGCUCUCCAGCCUGGAGCCUCCCUCCCAAAUGCAGUCUAGUGCUGGGAAAGGAGAGGGUGGCAGGCUGGCUCUAAGCAAAGACCCUCCCCUUCUCCUCUUUGCUUCCCUCUCCUUCCUCUCCCCACAACCCCCACGUCUCCACCUUCAUUUUCUCUUGGGGUAUGGUCAAGGGAGGUCUGGAUUGGAAGUCAGGACUAGACUCAGGACUGCUGGUGACCUAGGCAGGCCCCUUGCCCUCUCUGUGCCUUGGUGGACCAAUGGUCAUUAGUGGACUCUGUGUCCUUCCUGAGAGAGGCGGGUCCUGGAUUAACAGCAGCUCUGGGCCGGGGGCCUCACCCCUGGACCUCAUUCAGUCUCCAUGAAGUGCGAUGAAGGAACAGAGACUAAGACUCACCCAGGGUCCCAUAGCCAGGAGGGGGAAGAGGGCAGAGCUCAGGUCUGUCUGACCCCAGAGCCCUGCCCACUUGUCUGAGCUGGAGGGGAAGGAGAAACUUUUGGAUCCUGGAUAGAAGCUGGGAUGUGGGGUAGGGACUAAGGUGCUCAGAGUCCCCUUGUCCUGCCCCUCAGUUAGUGGCUGUGGCCACCAGCUAUCUCAGAAAGGCCUCUGUGGGUCAGAGAAGGAGCUGCCCCAGAAGGCCAUGCGGGGUGACCUUGACCUCCUCGACAUUCCCUGGGCCAGCGCAGGCACAGAACGAGACUCCUUUUGUAAAGAGACAUGUACUCACUGGGUCAGUAGUGAGGCCGGGAGGAGAGCCUUACAGCUACGAGCACAGGAUUUUUAAGACUGGUCCCCAACCCAGCUCUGCUGCCCGCUAGCACUGGGUCCUUGGGCAAGCUGCCUCCUCCCCUGAGCCUCAGGCUUCCCAUCUGUAAAAUGGGCAUAGUGGCAAUUUGGUAGACCGACUGUGCCAGAUCCUGUGCUGAGCCUUCUCCGUAUCUGUACACUGAGCCCUGCGAGCAGCACCCCUCUCUUCCACAACCCUCGUUCUUCUAGUCCUCACCUCGGAAUCCAGCCACGGCAGUGGUUCUGUGCCACCUGACAGAUCUCCAUGCCGCCACUGCAUCUAGAAUGCAGCUCCGAAUGCCCCAUCUGGAGAUGCGGAAUCCUGCCCACCUAGGCCCCGGAUCAUGGCGGGGGAGGAUCCCAGGGGGCACAUGAGCGUGAUGCCCACCAGUUUCACCCUGGAGCCUGGGCCUCAUGGAACAUAGGGGCAGCCAGCUUGUGCAACACCCCAAGCACAGAGCCAACAACCAGUCACAGGUGCCACUUCCCCAGAAGCUGGAACACAUGGUCCAGGGACAAGUCGUAGAAAUAGGAUUGCCUGCCCCCCCACCAUGCCCCAGUGACCUCCUUGUGGAUUUGUGCUUCUUGUCCCUGCAAUUUUAGGUGUGUCAGAUGAGAGGCCCCAGCUAUCUGGGACAGGGGAGAGGGGAGAGAGGGCAGAGGAGAAGGGAAGUAGGGGAGGGCUCCACUGGGCACAGCGUGGAUCCCACUGAACUCAAACCUGUGACUGCAUCUGUCACACUGGGGCCUUUGUGCCAGGGACCAGGACCAACAUGCACAGAAAGGAGUUCCCACUCCAGUGGGUUCUGAGCGCCUCUCGGUAACCCUCUAGCAUGACCUGUUUGCAGGCACUGCAGAUACGAGCACCUCGAAGGGGACUCUGAUGGUGGACACAGUAGGGGACAGGGGCGGGGCUGAGUGCUACAAGGGGUGGACUGUGUUGAGCAGCUCACCUGAAUGGCUUCAGACUUCUUGGCUUCACCUGCUAAUCCAGGCCCAGCUGCAGUAAACAGACCUCGCAGGCCAUGACAAGCUCCAUGCAGCUGUAAGCUGACAAUGGCCCGCCCUAGGCCCCUGUGCUUGCCUCUCGCUUCCAGCCUGGGGCUUUGCUGAUGCCACAGUGUGGGAUCCCCCCGCCCCCACCCCUCCACAGUAACCCACUCAGCAGUUACACACGCUCAACUGCAAGUGCAAGGGCGUGAACACCCUACAGGCCAACGCUUCCUCAAAGGCAGCAGAGCCCUGGAAGCAAUGCUCCCUCCUUUCUUCCCCUGGGUGGAUGAUUCUGAGAUGCAUUUUAUAAGGCAGCUCCGA
rnacentral:lncRNA from 1 species